rnacentral:rRNA from 1 species
AUACGUAGGUGACAAGCGUUAUCCGGAUUUACUGGGCGUAAAGGGCGUGUAGGCGGUCUUGCAAGUCAGAAGUGAAAUUCCUGAGCUCAACUCGGGCGCUGCUUCUGAAACUGCAGGACUUGAGUGCUGGAGGGGAUAGCGGAAUUCCUAGUGGAGCGGUGAAAUGCGCAGAUAUUAGGAAGAACACCGGUGGCGAGAGCGGCGCUCUGGACAGUAACUGACGCUGAGGCGCGAAAGCGUGGGGAGCAAAAAGGGUAAGAUACCCCGGUAGUCCACGCCGUAAACGAUGAAUACUAGGUGUAGGGGGUAUCGACUCCCUCUGUGCCGCAGUUAACACAAUAAGUAUACCGCCUGGGGAGUACGGCCGCAAGGUUGAAACUCAAAUGAAUUGACGGGG